GACGUAGGGCGCAAGCGUUGUCCGGAUUUAUUGGGCGUAAAGAGCUCGUAGGCGGCCUGUCGCGUCGACCGUGAAAACCCGCAGCUCAACUGCGGGCUUGCGGUCGAUACGGGCAGGCUGGAGUUCGGUAGGGGAGACUGGAAUUCCUGGUGUAGCGGUGAAAUGCGCAGAUAUCAGGAGGAACACCGGUGGCGAAGGCGGUUCUCUGGGCAUGUCCUGACACUGAGGCACGAAGGCCAGGGGAGCAAACGGG
rnacentral:rRNA from 1 species